rnacentral:rRNA from 1 species
AAUGAACGCUAGUAGUAUGCUUAACACAUGCAAGUCGAACGAAAGUUUUACACUUUCGUGGCGUACGGGUGAGUAAAUGCAGAAUUCUUCCUUUCCAGUUCAGUACAAAAUUGCUUCUAGUAAUAAAUUCUGAAUAUUUUUAAACGGUUUAUUCCGCUGAAAGAUGAAUCUGCUUAAGAUUAGGUUGUUGGUAAUUUAAAAGCUUACCAAGCCGAUGAUCUUUAGUUGGUCUGAGAGGAUGAUCAACCACACUGGAACUGAAACAAGGUCCAGGCUAAUUCGUUGGCCAGCAGUGAGGAAUAUUGGAGUCAAUGAACGAAAGUUUGAUCCAGC